GGUUAAGCGACUAAGCGUACACGGUGGAUGCCCUGGCAGUCAGAGGCGAUGAAGGGCGUGCUAAUCUGCGAUAAGCGCCGGUAAGGUGAUAUGAACCGUUAUAACCGGCGAUACCCGAAUGGGGAAACCCAGUGUGACUCGUCACACUAUCAUUAACUGAAUCCAUAGGUUAAUGAGGCGAACCGGGGGAACUGAAACAUCUAAGUACCCCGAGGAAAAGAAAUCAACCGAGAUUCCCCCAGUAGCGGCGAGCGAACGGGGAGGAGCCCAGAGCCUGAAUCAGCAUGUGUGUUAGUGGAAGCGUCUGGAAAGGCGCGCGAUACAGGGUGACAGCCCCGUACACAAAAGCGCAUGUGCUGUGAGCUCGAUGAGUAGGGCGGGACACGUGGUAUCCUGUCUGAAUAUGGGGGGACCAUCCUCCAAGGCUAAAUACUCCUGACUGACCGAUAGUGAACCAGUACCGUGAGGGAAAGGCGAAAAGAACCCCGGCGAGGGGAGUGAAAAAGAACCUGAAACCGUGUACGUACAAGCAGUGGGAGCACAGGUUUACCUGUGUGACUGCGUACCUUUUGUAUAAUGGGUCAGCGACUUAUAUUCUGUAGCAAGGUUAACCGCAUAGGGGAGCCGGAGGGAAACCGAGUCUUAAUUGGGCGUUAAGUUGCAGGGUAUAGACCCGAAACCCGGUGAUCUAGCCAUGGGCAGGUUGAAGGUUGGGUAACACUAACUGGAGGACCGAACCGACUAAUGUUGAAAAAUUAGCGGAUGACCUGUGGCUGGGGGUGAAAGGCCAAUCAAACCGGGAGAUAGCUGGUUCUCCCCGAAAGCUAUUUAGGUAGCGCCUCGUGAAUUCAUCUCCGGGGGUAGAGCACUGUUUCGGCUAGGGGGCCAUCCCGGCUUACCAACCCGAUGCAAACUGCGAAUACCGGAGAAUGUUAUCACGGGAGACACACGGCGGGUGCUAACGUCCGUCGUGAAGAGGGAAACAACCCAGACCGCCAGCUAAGGUCCCAAAGUCAUGGUUAAGUGGGAAACGAUGUGGGAAGGCCCAGACAGCCAGGAUGUUGGCUUAGAAGCAGCCAUCAUUUAAAGAAAGCGUAAUAGCUCACUGGUCGAGUCGGCCUGCGCGGAAGAUGUAACGGGGCUAAACCAUGCACCGAAGCUGCGGCAGCGAACGUAUCACUUAAAGCGAUUCAGCGGGUUACGAUUGACGGAGCGAAGCGACGUCAAAGCGUAUACAAAGUCGAGUCGGUUUAAGGAUACGUUCGUUGGGUAGGGGAGCGUUCUGUAAGCCUGCGAAGGUGGCCUGUGAGGGUUGCUGGAGGUAUCAGAGGUGCGAAUGCUGACAUAAGUAACGAUAAAGCGGGUGAAAAGCCCGCUCGCCGGAAGACCAAGGGUUCCUGUCCAACGUUAAUCGGGGCAGGGUGAGUCGACCCCUAAGGCGAGGCCGAAAGGCGUAGUCGAUGGGAAACGGGUUAAUAUUCCCGUACUUGGUGUUACUGCGAAGGGGGGACGGAGAAGGCUAUGUUGGCCGGGCGACGGUUGUCCCGGUUUAAGCGUGUAGGUGUGUGUUCCAGGUAAAUCCGGUUCACUUUAACACUGAGGCGUGAUGACGAGGCACUACGGUGCUGAAGCAACAAAUGCCCUGCUUCCAGGAAAAGCCUCUAAGCAUCAGGUAACAUCAAAUCGUACCCCAAACCGACACAGGUGGUCAGGUAGAGAAUACCAAGGCGCUUGAGAGAACUCGGGUGAAGGAACUAGGC
rnacentral:rRNA from 1 species